rnacentral:rRNA from 1 species
AUACGUAGGGUGCGAGCGUUGUCCGGAAUUACUGGGCGUAAAGAGCUCGUAGGUGGUUUGUCGCGUCGUCUGUGAAAUUCCGGGGCUUAACUCCGGGCGUGCAGGCGAUACGGGCAUAACUUGAGUACUGUAGGGGAGACUGGAAUUCCUGGUGUAGCGGUGAAAUGCGCAGAUAUCAGGAGGAACACCGGUGGCGAAGGCGGGUCUCUGGGCAGUAACUGACGCUGAGGAGCGAUAGCAUGGGUAGCGAACAGGAUUAGAUACCCUGGUAGUCCAUGCCGUAAACGGUGGGCGCUAGGUGUAGGGGUCUUCCACGACUUCUGUGCCGUAGCUAACGCAUUAAGCGCCCCGCCUGGGGAGUACGGCCGCAAGGCUAAAACUUAAAGGAAUUGACGGGG